UACGUAGGGUGCAAGCGUUGUCCGGAAUUAUUGGGCGUAAAGAGCUCGUAGGCGGUUUGUCGCGUCGGCUGUGAAAUCCCGAGGCUCAACCUCGGGCCUGCAGUCGAUACGGGCAAACUAGAGUGUGGUAGGGGAGACUGGAAUUCCUGGUGUAGCGGUGAAAUGCGCAGAUAUCAGGAGGAACACCGGUGGCGAAGGCGGGACUCUGGGCCGAUACUGACGCUGAGGAGCGAAAGCGUGGGGAGCAAACAGG
rnacentral:rRNA from 1 species